rnacentral:rRNA from 1 species
AACGAACGCUGGCGGCAGGCUUAACACAUGCAAGUCGAGCGCCCCGCAAGGGGAGCGGCAGACGGGUGAGUAACACGUGGGAAUCUACCCAUCCCUACGGAACAACUCCGGGAAACUGGAGCUAAUACCGUAUACGCUCUUUGGGGGAAAGAUUUAUCGGGGAUGGAUGAGCCCGCGUUGGAUUAGCUAGUUGGUGGGGUAAAGGCCUACCAAGGCGACGAUCCAUAGCUGGUCUGAGAGGAUGAUCAGCCACAUUGGGACUGAGACACGGCCCAAACUCCUACGGGAGGCAGCAGUGGGGAAUAUUGGACAAUGGCGCAAGCCUGAUCCAGCCAUGCCGCGUGAAUGAUGAAGGCCUUAGGGUUGUAAAGUUCUUUCACCGAUGAAGAUAAUGACGGUAGUCGGAGAAGAAGCCCCGGCUAACUUCGUGCCAGCCGCCGCAGUAA